CCUACGGGCGGCAGCAGUGGGGAAUAUUGGACAAUGGGGGCAACCCUGAUCCAGCCAUGCCGCGUGUGUGAAGAAGGCCCUCGGGUUGUAAAGCACUUUCAGUGAGGAAGAACGCCUGGUGGUUAAUACCCAUCAGGAAAGACAUCACUCACAGAAGAAGCACCGGCUAACUCCGUGCCAGCAGCCGCGGUAAUACGGAGGGUGCGAGCGUUAAUCGGAAUUACUGGGCGUAAAGCGCGCGUAGGUGGCUUGAUAAGCCGGUUGUGAAAGCCCCGGGCUCAACCUGGGAACGGCAUCCGGAACUGUCAAGCUAGAGUGCAGGAGAGGAAGGUAGAAUUCCCGGUGUAGCGGUGAAAUGCGUAGAGAUCGGGAGGAAUACCAGUGGCGAAGGCGGCCUUCUGGACUGACACUGACACUGAGGUGCGAAAGCGUGGAUAGCAAACAGGAUUAGAUACCCUGGUAGUC
rnacentral:rRNA from 1 species